rnacentral:rRNA from 1 species
AUUGAACGCUGGCGGCAUGCCUUACACAUGCAAGUCGAACGGCAGCACGGGAGCAAUCCUGGUGGCGAGUGGCGAACGGGUGAGUAAAGUAUCGGAACGUGCCCAGUCGUGGGGGAUAACGUAGCGAAAGUUACGCUAAUACCGCAUACGAUCUAUGGAUGAAAGCGGGGGAUCGCAAGACCUCGCGCGAUUGGAGCGGCCGAUAUCAGAUUAGGUAGUUGGUGGGGUAAAGGCUCACCAAGCCGACGAUCUGUAGCUGGUCUGAGAGGACGGCCGGCCACCCUGGGACUGAGACACGGCCCAGGCUCCUACGGGAGGCAGCAGUGGGGAAUUUUGGACAAUGGGCGCAAGCCUGAUCCAGCCAUGCCGCGUGCAGGAUGAAGGCCUUCGGGUUGUAAACGGCUUUUGUACGGAACGAAAAGGUUUGGCCUAAUACGCUGAACUCAUGACGGUACCGUAAGAAUAAGCACCGGCUAACUACGUGCCAGCAGCCGCCGUAA